rnacentral:rRNA from 1 species
UGAGUAAUGUCUGGGAAACUGCCUGAUGGAGGGGGAGUAACUACUGGAAACGGUAGCUAAUACCGCAUAACGUCGCAAGACCAAAGAGGGGGGACCUUCGGGGCCUCUUGCCAUCAGAUGUGCCCAGAUGGGAUUAGCUAGUAGGUGGGGUAACGGCUCACCUAGGCGACGAUCCCUAGCUGGUCUGAGAGGAUGACCAGCCACACUGGAACUGAGACACGGUCCAGACUCCUACGGGAGGCAGCAUG